AACGAACGCUGGCGGCAUGCCUAACACAUGCAAGUCGAACGAGACCUUCGGGUCUAGUGGCGCACGGGUGCGUAACGCGUGGGAAUCUGCCCUUGGGUUCGGAAUAACAGCGAGAAAUUGCUGCUAAUACCGGAUGAUGACGUAAGUCCAAAGAUUUAUCGCCCAAGGAUGAGCCCGCGUAGGAUUAGCUAGUUGGUGAGGUAAAGGCUCACCAAGGCGACGAUCCUUAGCUGGUCUGAGAGGAUGAUCAGCCACACUGGGACUGAGACACGGCCCAGACUCCUACGGGAGGCAGCAGUGGGGAAUAUUGGACAAUGGGCGAAAGCCUGAUCCAGCAAUGCCGCGUGAGUGAUGAAGGCCCUAGGGUUGUAAAGCUCUUUUACCAGGGAUGAUAAUGACAGUACCUGGAGAAUAAGCUCCGGCUAACUCCGUGCCAGCAGCCGCGGUAAU
rnacentral:rRNA from 1 species